rnacentral:lncRNA from 1 species
GAGAGCCCAUCCAGACGCCGUCUUCAUCAGACAGUGAAGCUAAGUCGGAGCUCCCUGAGAGCAGCCGAGUGAGCCCGUUUGCAUCGCGAGGGUGAGACAAAACGGGGCCGACUGGCAGCGGGCACUUGGGGACCGCCCGCGCGGCCGUGCGGCUCCAGGCUCCUCCCUCAGGCCGGAAUCCGACAGUUCAGCCUCGCUGCGGACCUGGAGGUCCAGCGGUGGUCAGUGCAGACUCCAGUCCACACCUCCCAGAGCCCACACCACUCAGAGUCUACACCACACGGGGUCUGCACCACCCAGAGUCUGCACCUCCCAGAGCCCACACCACUCAGAGUCUACACCACACGGGGUCUGCACCACCCAGAGUCUGCACCUCCCAGAGUCCACACCACCUGGGGUCUACACCUCCCAGAGUCUGUACCACUCAGAGUCUACACCACACGGGGUCUGCACCACCCAGAGUCUGCACCUCCCAGAGUCCACACCACCCGGGGUCUACACCUCCCAGAGCCCACACCACUCAGAGUCUACACCACACGGGGUCUGCACCACCCAGAGUCUGCACCUCCCAGAGUCUACACCACUCAGAGUCUACACCACAUGGGGUCUGCACCACCCAGAGUCUGCACCUCCCAGAGUCCACACCACCUGGGGUCUACACCUCCCAGAGUCUGUACCACUCAGAGUCUAUACCACACGGGGUCUGCACCACCCAGAGUCUACACCACCCAGAGUCUACACCACCCAGUCUGAACAUCUCAGAGUCUAUACCAUCCAGAGUCCACACCUCCCAGAGUCUACACCACCCAGAGUCUACACCACACGGGGUCUGCACCUCCCAGAGUCUACACCACCCAGAGUCUACACCACAUGGGGUCUACACAUCCCAGAGUCUCCACCACCCAGAGUCUGAACCUCUCAGAGUCUAUACCAUCCAGAGUCCACACCUCCCAGAGUCUACACCACCUGGGGUCUACACCAUCCAGAGUCUGCACCUCUCAGAAUCUCCACCACCCGGGGUCUACACCUCCCAGAGUCUCUACCACACAGAGCCAACACCACCUGGGGUCUAUACCACCGGG